ACCUGCACGUGUCACCCACGUUCCGGAUCCCCCAUUGGCAGCAGAUCCCCGAAGGCAAAGAAAUAGUAGCAGACAAGAAGAAGAAGAAGAAGAAGAAGAAGAAGAAGAGAAGGCGAUGGGCUUCUGCAUGAGGUUUCUGGAGAUACUGUGCGCCAUCGUUCUCCCGCCUCUCGGCGUCUUCUUCCGGUAUGGCUGCUGCAAGCUGGAGUUUUGGCUCUCAGUGGUGCUGACCAUCCUGGGUUACAUCCCCGGCAUAAUCUACGCCAUCUACGUGAUCGUGACCGAUCCCGAGCGCCAUUACGAUGACGACUAUCACGCCGUCUAGGAGGAGAUCGACGAAGGAGACGACGUUUCGCCUUCGGAUCGUCUUCUUUGUUCGAGUUUUCUGGUUUGCUGUGAGUUGCAGUUGCUGUCAGAAGUAAUAAAGAAUCGUGUGAGAUGGUCUUAAUUUGUGGUAUCUUUCGUGCAUGCUUGGUUAUGUCUUCUGUGAGUGAGAGAGUGCAUAAAUUGGAGAUCCAAGAACUGGCUUCUUCAUGUCUUCUGUAUCUGAACCAUGAAUCUAUAUUAUUAGUAACCUACUUGUAUGAUGAA